GGACGAACGCUGGCGGCGUGCCUAACACAGUGCAAGUCGAACGGACGAGGGGAGGCUGCUCCCCAAGUUAGUGGCGGACGGGUGAGUAACACGUGAGCAACCUGCCCUUCGAGGGGGACAACAGUGGGAAACUGCUGCUAAUACCGCAUAACGUAUCCUGGAGGCAUCUCCGGGAUACCAAAGAUUUUAUCGCCGAAGGAUGGGCUCGCGUCUGAUUAGAUAGUUGGUGGGGCAACGGCCCACCCAAGUCUGCGAUCAGUAGCCGGACUGAGAGGUUGAACGGCCACAUUGGGACUGAGAUACGGCCCAGACUCCUACGGGAGGCAGCAGUGGGGAAUAUUGGGCAAUGGGGGCAAACCCCCUGACCCAGCAACGCCGCGUGGAGGAAGAAGGCUUUCGGGUUGUAAACUCCUUUGACGAGGGACGAUGAUGACGGUACCUCGAAAACAAGCCACGGCUAACUACGUGCCAGCCGCUGC
rnacentral:rRNA from 1 species